AGUGAACGCUGGCGGUAGGCCUAACACAUGCAAGUCGAACGGCAGCACAGUAAGAGCUUGCUCUUACGGGUGGCGAGUGGCGGACGGGUGAGGAGUACAUCGGAAUCUACUUUUUCGUGGGGGAUAACGUAGGGAAACUUACGCUAAUACCGCAUACGACCUACGGGUGAAAGCAGGGGAUCUUCGGACCUUGCGCGAUUGAAUGAGCCGAUGUCGGAUUAGCUGGUUGGCGGGGUAAAGGCCCACCAAGGCGACGAUCCGUAGCUGGUCUGAGAGGAUGAUCAGCCACACUGGAACUGAGACACGGUCCAGACUCCUACGGGAGGCAGCAGUGGGGAAUAUUGGACAAAGGGCGCGAGCCUGAUCCAGCCAUACCGCGUGGGUGAAGAAGGCCUUCGGGUUGUAAAGCCCUUUUGUUGGGAAAGAAAAGCAGCAGGUUAAUACCACGCUGUUCUGACGGUACCCAAAGAAUAAGCACCGGCUAACUUCGUG
rnacentral:rRNA from 1 species